CGCUGGCGGCAGGCCUAACACAUGCAAGUCGAACGAUAAGCCACCUUCGGGUGGUGGACAGUGGCAGACGGGUGAGUAACGCGUGGGAACGUGCCUUUCGGUUCGGAAUAACCCAGGGAAACUUGGGCUAAUACCGGAUACGCCCUUCGGGGGAAAGAUUCAUUGCCGAAAGAUCGGCCCGCGUCGGAUUAGCUAGUUGGUGGGGUAAUGGCUCACCAAGGCGACGAUCCGUAGCUGGUCUGAGAGGAUGACCAGCCACACUGGGACUGAGACACGGCCCAGACUCCUACGGGAGGCAGCAGUGGGGAAUAUUGGACAAUGGGCGCAAGCCUGAUCCAGCCAUGCCGCGUGGGUGAAGAAGGCCUUAGGGUUGUAAACCCCUUUCAGCGGGGAAGAUAAUGACGGUACCCGCAGAAGAAGUCCCGGCUAACUCCGUGCCAGCAGCCGCGGUAAUACGGAGGGGACUAGCGUUGUUCGGAAUUACUGGGCGUAAAGCGCACGUAGGCGGAUUUGUAAGUCAGGGGUGAAAUCCCGGGGCUCAACCUCGGAACUGCCUUUGAUACUGCAAAUCUCGAGUCCGGAAGAGGUGAGUGGAAUUCCUAGUGUAGAGG
rnacentral:rRNA from 1 species